rnacentral:rRNA from 1 species
GACGAACGCUGGCGGCGUGCUUAACACAUGCAAGUCGAACGAUGAAGCCGCUUCGGUGGUGGAUUAGUGGCGAACGGGUGAGUAACACGUGGGCAAUCUGCCCUGCACUCUGGGACAAGCCCUGGAAACGGGGUCUAAUACCGGAUACGACCAUCGGCCGCAUGGCCUGGUGGUGGAAAGCUCUGGUGGUGCAGGAUGAGCCCGCGGCCUAUCAGCUUGUUGGUGGGGUGAUGGCCUACCAAGGCGACGACGGGUAGCCGGCCUGGGAGGGCGACCGGCCACACUGGGACUGAGACACGGCCCAGACUCCUACGGGAGGCAGCAGUGGGGAAUAUUGCACAAUGGGCGCAAGCCCGAUGCAGCGACGCCGCGUGAGGGAUGACGGCCUUCGGGUUGUAAACCUCUUUCAGCAGGGAAGAAGCUUUCGGGUGACGGUACCUGCAGAAGAAGCACCGGCUAACUACGUGCCAGCCGCCGCGGUAA